rnacentral:rRNA from 1 species
UACGAAGGGGGCUAGCGUUGCUCGGAAUCACUGGGCGUAAAGCGCUCGUAGGCGGAUUGUUAAGUCGGGGGUGAAAUCCUGGAGCUCAACUCCAGAACUGCCUUCGAUACUGGCAAUCUUGAGUCCGGGAGAGGUGAGUGGAACUCCGAGUGUAGAGGUGAAAUUCGUAGAUAUUCGCAAGAACACCAGUGGCGAAGGCAGCUCUCUGGGACGGUACUGACACUGAGACGCGAAAGCGUGGGGAGCGAACAGG